GCCUGCAGGGUGGAACUCUCCAGGCAGGAAAGCAAGUUGAGAAGGCAACAGAUGGCUCCCUGCAGAGCGAGGACUGGACACUGAACAUGGAGAUCUGUGACAUCAUCAAUGAGACAGAAGAAGGGCCAAAGGAUGCCAUCCGAGCUCUGAAGAAGCGGCUCAGUGGGAACCGGAACUACAGAGAAGUGAUGCUGGCCCUGACAGUGCUGGAGACUUGUGUGAAGAACUGUGGCCAUCGCUUUCACCUCCUUGUAGCCAACCGAGACUUCAUUGACAGUGUUCUGGUCAGAAUUAUCUCUCCCAAGAAUAACCCUCCCACCAUCGUCCAGGACAAAGUGCUUGCUCUAAUUCAGGCAUGGGCAGACGCCUUUAGGAGCAGUCCUGA
rnacentral:lncRNA from 1 species